GUGGGGAAUCUUGCGCAAUGGGCGAAAGCCUGACGCAGCCAUGCCGCGUGAAUGAUGAAGGUCUUAGGAUUGUAAAAUUCUUUCACCGGGGACGAUAAUGACGGUACCCGGAGAAGAAGCCCCGGCUAACUUCGUGCCAGCAGCCGCGGUAAUACGAAGGGGGCUAGCGUUGCUCGGAAUUACUGGGCGUAAAGGGCGCGUAGGCGGAUCGUUAAGUCAGGGGGGAAAUCCCAGUGCUCAACUCUGGAGCUGCCCUUGAUACUGGCGAUCUUGCGUGUGAGAGAGGUGUGUGGAACUCCGAGUGUAGAGGUGAAAUUCGUAGAUAUUCGGAAGAACACCAGUGGCGAAGGCGACACACUGGCUCAUUACUGACGCUGAGGCGCGAAAGCGUGGGGAGCAAACAGGAUUAGAUACCCUGGUAGUCC
rnacentral:rRNA from 1 species